rnacentral:rRNA from 1 species
GAUGAACGCUGGCGGUAUGCUUAACACAUGCAAGUCGAACGGACACUUCGGAGUUAGUGGCGGUGGGGGGGGGAACGCGGGAGAAUUUGGCCUUGGGUUCGGGACAACCACUGGUAAGGGUGGUUAAUACCGGAGGUGCUGAUAGGGAAAAGAGGAACCGCCUGAAGAUGAGCUCGCGUCUGAUUAGGUAGUUGGUGAGGUAAAGGCCCACUAAGGCAGCGAUCAGUAGCUGGUCUGAGAGGAUGAGCAGCCACAGGGGGACGGAGACACGGCAGAGACUCCUGGGAGGGGCAGCAGUGGAGAAUUUUCCGCAAGGGGCAAGAGCGUGACAGAGCAAUACCGCGUGAGAGAAGGAGGUUCUUGGGUUGUAAACCUCUUUUCUUAGAGGAGGACAGAGUGACGGUACCUAAGAAAUCAGCACCGGCUAACUACGUG